rnacentral:rRNA from 1 species
CUGGAGGUAUCAGAAGUGCGAAUGCUGACAUAAGUAACGAUAAAGCGGGUGAAAAGCCCGCUCGCCGGAAGACCAAGGGUUCCUGUCCAACGUUAAUCGGGGCAGGGUGAGUCGACCCCUAAGGCGAGGCCGAAAGGCGUAGUCGAUGGGAAACGGGUUAAUAUUCCCGUACUUGGUGUUACUGCGAAGGGGGGACGGAGAAGGCUAUGUUGGCCGGGCGACGGUUGUCCCGGUUUAAGCGUGUAGGUGUGUGUUCCAGGUAAAUCCGGUUCACUUUAACACUGAGGCGUGACGACGAGGCACUACGGUGCUGAAGCAACAAAUGCCCUG